rnacentral:rRNA from 1 species
AAGUCGUAACAAGGUUUCCGUAGGUGAACCUGCGGAAGGAUCAUUACAAAUUUUCCCACUGCAUUACGCAAACACCAUGUGUGAACUGGAUCUGACUCUCAUUUGGUUGGGCAUUUGUUUGCCUGGCCAAAUGUGUUAAACCCCAUUGUCAACGAUGAACAUGCUGUUUUUGAAAGCUGUCUGCUGAAAAAGUAGAUGGAUUAAAAAUGACAGAAACAACUUUUAACGGUGGAUCUCUGGGCUCGCGCAUCGAUGAAGAACGCAGCAAACUGCGAUACGUAGUGUGAAUUGCAGAUCAGUGAAUCAUCGAAUCUUUGAACGCAAAUGGCGCUCUCGGGUCCCAGUCCUGGGAGCAUGUCUGCUUGAGUAUCAUUUUCUUCUACUCGUUGGGUUCCCCUUGAAUGGUGUGAGUCUCGACGGAUCUGGACGCUUUUUCAGAGUCUCCCUCUGAUCGUCUGAAAUGCAGGGCGAGGGCGUGUUAUCUGAACGCGCCGUCUCUGAAUGCGAGUGGUGACAGCAAUGUCUUUUCUCUAAUUCAAGAUGCGCGAUAACGGAUGAUGCGAUGCUCGAGAAUGACGUGCCUGCAUCGAGUCUGUUUGAUGUGACACUAUGUUGGCGUUGCUUUCUCCCUUAAGAGGGGAAAAACAGCGUUGACGUUGCAACAAUCAGCUCUCGACGCUUCUAUUGAACAAAGGCAGCAUCUACCAUGAUCUCAAGUCAGUCAAGAUUACCCGCUGAACUUAA